CGCUGGCGGCGUGCCUAAUACAUGCAAGUCGAACGGUCUUUCUAUGGAAGCUUGCUUCCACUGAGAAGAUAGUGGCGAACGGGUGAGUAACACGUGGGUAACCUGCCCAUAAGAGGGGGAUAACAUCCGGAAACGGGUGCUAAUACCGCAUAGUUUUCUUGAUCGCAUGAUUGAGAAAGGAAAGACGGCCUUUGUGCUGUCGCUUAUGGAUGGACCCGCGGCGUAUUAGUUAGUUGGUGAGGUAACGGCUCACCAAGACGAUGAUACGUAGCCGACCUGAGAGGGUGAUCGGCCACAUUGGGACUGAGACACGGCCCAAACUCCUACGGGAGGCAGCAGUAGGGAAUCUUCCGCAAUGGACGAAAGUCUGACGGAGCAACGCCGCGUGAGUGAAGAAGGUUUUUCCGGAUCGUAAAACUCUGUUGUCAGAGAAGAACAAGUUGGAGAGUAACUGCUCCAGCCUUGACGGUAUCUGACCAGAAAGCCACGGCUAACUACGUGCCAGCCGCUGC
rnacentral:rRNA from 1 species